GUCAUAUCUCCACCAUGCAUUUAUAACCUCAUGAUACUACAGCAGUGUUUCCCUGGGUUCCUGUGGUGGGGGUGGGGGCUGUCCUGACUGCUGGAGCUCUUCUAUUCACCAUCUACUGCUAUAUGAAGAGGAGAUCCACAGGAGGAAGUGAUGCCACAGCAGACACACAGAGUGCCCAUCCUGAUCCUAACAGUGACACUUACACAGCUCUGAACAUGAAGACCAGGUCACCAGAGUAUGACACCCUGGCAAAUGUGAGAGACUUCGCAGUGACACAGCCCCUCAGAUAGAUGCUGAGCCCUCCUAUUAUGAGAAUUUAAGAGAACCACCACAGAACCUGAACUGAAGAGAACCACCACAGAACCUGGACUGAAGAGAACCACCACAGAACCUGGACUGAAGAGAACCACCACAGAAUCUGGACUGAAGAGAACCACCACAGAACCUGGACUGAAGAGAACCACCACAGAACCUGGACUGAAGAGAACCACCACAGAAUCUGGACUGAAGAGAACCACCACAGAACCUGGACUGAAGAGAACCACCACAGAACCUGGACUGAAGAGAACCACCACAGAACCUCGACUGAAGAGAACCACCACAGAACUUGGACUGAAAAGAACCAAAACAGAACCUGGACUGAAGAGCAACAGCAUCAAACCAAAGCUAGGCCUCACAAUGCUAUUCUCUUACUAUCAUAAUGCUUUCUUAUCUAUUAUGUUUUCCAGACAAUGACCUUUAACUUUUGAGUGAAUGCUGGAAUUUAGAUUGUUCUCCUGACGAUAAAUACAGUAUGUGCACUACCGUUCAAAAGUUUGGGGUCACUUAAAAUGUCCUUGUUUUUGAAAGAAAAGCACCAAAAAAUUGUCCAUUAAAAUAACAUCUAAUUGAUCAGAAAUGCAGUGUAGACAUUGUUAAUGUUGUAAAUUACUAUUGUAGCUGGAAAUGGCAGAUGUUUUAUGGAAUAUCUACAAAAGCGUACAGAGGCCCAUUAUCAGCAAUCAUCACUCCUGUGUUCCAAUGGCACGUUGUGUUAGCUAAUCCAAGUUUAUCAUUUUAAAAGGCAAAUUAAUCAUUAGAAAACCAUAUUGCAAUUAUAUUAGUACAGCUGAAAACUGUUGUGCUCGCUGAUUAAAGAAGCAAUGAAACUGGCCAUCUUUAGACUAGUUGAGUAUCUGGAGCAUCAGCAUUUGUGGGUUCGAUUACAGGCUAAAAAUGUCAACUUAUCUGUUUACUAUCUAUAGAUUGUAUUGCUUAUCUUUUUUUAUGGGAUUUUGCCAAUUCCAGAUAUUUUUAACAUAGAAAGUUUUGGCUUGUCUUAGUGACACAAAAAAUAAUUAUAUUGACAGGAGCUUUUAAAUAUUCUGAUGUGUUUAAAUAUGUUUUACUUUGUAUUGCUGUCAGAUAUUAUUGGGCAUUUUAUAUUUUAUUUUAUGUAAUACCAUAUUGUUCAGUGUCAUGAUUUUGCUUGUUUCAUUAUCAAACUAUUAAUAAUGACAUAUUUUAGACACAUUGAAUACAGUAUAAGCAUCAUGUUGUAAAUACGCUCAAAGGUAGACAAUAAAAAGACAAAUAAAUUGGUUAUUUUGUUAAUUUA